rnacentral:lncRNA from 1 species
UAGUGUCUAGGUUGAGGGGGUCUGAUUCUGUAUCACUUUCACUAGGUUCAUCUUGUACAAAUUGUACAACUCUGGGAGUUAAAGACAUGUCAGGAGGCAUGUUGUCAGUUACAUCUUCAACAAUAACUGACAGUCCUGACAUUUUACUUUCAUCGUGAUCCUUCGAAUGAACAGAGUCAACUAAUGUGGUGGAAUCUUUUAUUUCAGCAUCAUGUUGUCU